rnacentral:lncRNA from 1 species
GGAAGAAUGCAUCCAUCAUUACAUUUUCACAAUACACGGUGAUCCCUAACUGUAUACUACCGCCUUUUCUAAUUUUGGGGUUGUUAAGAGUGUCAGUCAAGCAUUUAACAAAUAUGUAUUAUUUAAUUUCAUGCAUUCGUUUAACAGGUCUACCUGUUGUUUGCCAGGUGUUAUGAUACCCAAGAAUAGAGUUGAAUUAGAUGUAUUUAGAGAAUUUGCUUUUUAAUGUGUUAUCUAAGGUGAUUAUUUAACCCAUGACUUUCCUAAAGGUUUAAUUUGCUCUUGGUAGGAUGUCAUUGUCCGAUGGAGCAUAAGUUUGAUUUUAACGCUUCGUCGUAGAGUCCAAAAGCCCAAAUUAUGCUUUGAGUUUUAGUUUAAAUCUUCUUUACAAAAAUUUCCUGACAGUUCCCCUUGAUUUAGAUACUGUGUGAUGAAUGUGAAAGUUCUACAAAUGAGUUUUUUUUUUUUUACACUCUUGAUGAUCUCCUGUGGAAAGGCAUAAACAUCUGAAUAUGUUGGGAAUGUUUUUCAACGAUAAUAUGCUCUUUGAGAGUAUAGGCAGGUUUGAUGAACUCCAGGUAGUUUCCUCAGCAUUAGAAUGAAAUGCCCAUCCAGAAACCUGCAAUUUUAUUUGAAUUGUUUUUUUGUUUGUUUGUUUGUUUUUUCCAAACAGCAACAACUUCAAUAAAGCCUAUUUUGGGAGCACCACCAUGUUUCAGGCACUAUCCAGUUGCAUUUUUCAGAUGAGAAUGAUCCUGAAAUGUGUGGUCAGGCAGUGACCAUCCAGUUAUCUAUCGCUUGGCUUUUAAAACACUACGGUCAUAAUAACUCCUAGAGCUCAUGCUCCACGAAGAAUAAGGCUGUUGAAAUUCUCCAAACUUCACGAAGCCAUCUGGUUCUGAUUUCCCCAUAGAAUUUCAGUAGAAAAGGAAGUCUGAAUACUAACUGCAUCAAGUCUGAGUAGCGCUGCUUACACAAACUUUUGAGAGAUGUUAUCAUGGACUUCUGUUUCUUAAAAAUAACAGGGAAAAUGAUUAUAU